CACAGAGCUCGGGGCUCUGCACUUCCUGUUUCUUGCAGGAGCUGAAGCAACCUGGGGCUGAGGGCCUCACGGGCUUGAAUGCAGCAAGGCUUGGGAGCAGCCACAGGUCUGGACAGACUGACCCCUCGGACGGGACACCGCUGCCCUUCAUCUCUAUCAGACCUCGCCUUGCUGACCCCAGCAUCCUGAGGAGGUCCCUUCCUGAACACCCAGCUCUGUCCAAGAAGCCCCGCCCACCCGCGUUGGACCAACGGAAUUUUUUCCUUAGUGCACCCACACCUGUAGACUGAAGGCUUUCCGUUUAGAAGUGAUCUGAGCCAGCUGGGAGGGAGGCUUUGGCUCAGAGGGUAAAGCGUCUGCCUGCAACGCAGGAGACCUGGGUUCGAUCCCUGGGUCAGGAAGAUCCCCUGGAGAAGGAAAUGACAACCCACUCCAGUAUUCUUGCCUGGAGAAUCCCAUGGACAGAGAAGCCUGGCAGACUGCAGUCCAUGGGGUCACAAAGAGUCGGACAUGACUGAGCGACUUCAUUUCAUCCAUGUAGCUAUUUACCUAUGUGUCUGUGUAACUAUCUGUAUAUCUAAGCAUCUGUCUAUGUAGCAUCCAGCUACUUCUCAAUCAGUCGACCUAUUUAUCUACCUAUCAUGUUUCUAUCUAUGAUGAGUUAAUACUAUGCCUGCCUCAUCCAGGCUCAGGUUGAGUCUGGUUAUGACAGAUCCCACUGGAAACACUUAUCUGUGUAAUUGUUUUGUUCAUUAAGUUUUUCUAUGACACCAGACCUUCCUUGAGGGCAGGGAAUACAUGGGUUUUGGUCAAUUUUAUCUCCUCAUUUCCUGGGAUGGCCACGGGUUGACAUGCUUAAAUAUUUCUUUAGUGAAAUAAGAUUCCUGAAUGAUGAGUGGAUGAACAAAUGGGCAAGUCCAAGCAGUCGUGGAGCGGUUAAGGUGGGUGAUCUCGAGCAGUCAGAAAAGAGAUGAUGUCAUUGGAAAAAAGCAAACCCAAAACCCCUCAUGGCAUUUUCUAGUACCCUGGAGUCACGGCCUAAGACGAGGAUGGAA
ensembl:lncRNA